rnacentral:SRP_RNA from 1 species
AAGUGCUAGAUGGGGAGUUAGCGGUGCCCUGUAACCCGGAAUCCGCUCUACCGGGGUCGAAUUCCCACCCGAGGGCUUAGCGGUCGAUUGAUUUCGACGGGUAAGCAGUGUUGAGGGUUGGGUCCUGUACAACAGAAGCCUAUGAACCCCGUCAGGACCGGGAGGUAGCAGCGGUAAGUAGAUACUUGUGUGUGUUGCAGGAGUGCUCGACCGGAGCUGGCUGCUCUGAGGGUCUUUUGGCAGCGGUUCGGAGGUGGGUGCACAA